CUCACCUAUUGGUUAGAGGAUUGAUGGUCACCCCAAAUAGGUUAGCGAGGGAAGCAUGCUUGAGGCUGAACCGCGAAAUAGUAUCAAGCUCACCAUGACGAAGCCUGUCGCUUGGCGUCUAAUUGGUUAAAUAAAUAAGCGACUAAGCAUGUAGUACCGAGGAUGUAGGCUUUUUGGACGGGGGUUCGAUUCCCC
rnacentral:tmRNA from 13 species